CUCGUAGGCGGUUUGUCGCGUCUGCUGUGAAAACCCGAGGCUCAACCUCGGGCCUGCAGUAGGUACGGGCAGACUAGAGUGCGGUAGGGGAGAUUGGAAUUCCUGGUGUAGCGGUGGAAUGCGCAGAUAUCAGGAGGAACACCAAUGGCGAAGGCAGAUCUCUGGGCCGUAACUGACGCUGAGGAGCGAAAGCAUGGGAGCGAACA
rnacentral:rRNA from 1 species